rnacentral:rRNA from 1 species
GAUGAACGCUGGCGGCGUGCUUAACACAUGCAAGUCGAACGGUGAAGCCAAGCUUGCUUGGUGGAUCAGUGGCGAACGGGUGAGUAACACGUGAGCAACCUGCCCUGGACUCUGGGAUAAGCGCUGGAAACGGCGUCUAAUACUGGAUAUGAAACGUGAUCGCAUGGUCAACGUUUGGAAAGAUUUUUCGGUCUGGGAUGGGCUCGCGGCCUAUCAGCUUGUUGGUGAGGUAAUGGCUCACCAAGGCGUCGACGGGUAGCCGGCCUGAGAGGGUGACCGGCCACACUGGGACUGAGACACGGCCCAGACUCCUACGGGAGGCAGCAGUGGGGAAUAUUGCACAAUGGGCGGAAGCCUGAUGCAGCAACGCCGCGUGAGGGAUGACGGCCUUCGGGUUGUAAACCUCUUUUAGCAGGGAAGAAGCGAAAGUGACGGUACCUGCAGAAAAAGCGCCGGCUAACUACGUGCCAGCAGCCGCCGUAA